GUGGAAAUAUCUUCCCGCAAUAAGCGUCAAGCAUUUAACUUUGCACUCGAUUAAUCAAUCCGUUUCGUGCGUCGAUGAGGAACGUGUGCCCGCGUUUAUCUCUGCGUUUUAACACUACAUUGUUGUGCCUGUCUUUUUGUACGUUCUUCCGUCGUGGUCAACGUCUACGUCACGCUCGGCAGCAUCGGCCACCUGUUGCGUCUUCCUACCGCAUAAUCUCGAAGAUGGAAAUAAUAGCGGAUGUCAAACACGGAAAGAUCUACUACACGGAAAUGUUGGUUCACUAUACGACUGAAGCCGAAUAAAAAAUAAAAAAUUUUUCAAACCUAUAAGAGACGACGAAAUAUAUAACGUUAUGAGUGAAUAUUGAGAUUGAGGAGGAGGAUUUCUUUAAAGUUCCAGCAAAUCUACAGCAUGGCGUGCAGUUACCACGGUGAAGCUGAAAGGAGCGAGAAACGGACAUGGAAAACCUGAUAGUUGUCGACGAAAUAAUACGACAUGACGCUGUUAUUUUGCACACAUUCUUUGCAACGGCGCCUGUUUCAAGUUUAAGGUAAAGGGUGUCGGAUUUUUUCCUGUGGUCAACAACGUGGACGGUCGCACGGUGUUGGAUGUACACCGGCCGGUGCCCACUCGGUUGGAACAGCGUCGAAAGGAUCGAGCUCUCUUUGCCCUCAACGAUCAAAAUCACUGAUGCCAUAAGAGAGAAACAGUGGACACGUUAAAAUAUUGAAAAUCACGAUUUUAAAAUUACAAAAAUUAUAAUUAGCAGUCACCCUUCAAUUCUCGCCAGAUAGAAUAAGAGUAAAUAAAUUCCAAACACCUUCCUCUCGA